CAGCCGCCGCGGUAAUGCGAAGGGUGCAAGCGUUACUCGGAAUUACUGGGCGUAAAGCGUGCGUAGGUGGUGGUUUAAGUCCGUUGUGAAAGCCCUGGGCUCAACCUGGGAAUUGCAGUGGAUACUGGGUCACUAGAGUGUGGUAGAGGAUAGUGGAAUUUCCGGUGUAGCAGUGAAAUGCGUAGAGAUCGGAAGGAACAUCUGUGGCGAAGGCGACUAUCUGGGCCAACACUGACACUGAGGCACGAAAGCGUGGGGAGCAAACAGGAUUAGAUACCCGUGUAGUCCCUGUCUCUUAUAC
rnacentral:rRNA from 1 species